rnacentral:rRNA from 1 species
UACGUAGGGGGCUAGCGUUGUCCGGAAUCAUUGGGCGUAAAGAGCGUGUAGGCGGCUCGGUAAGUCCGCUGUGAAAGUCCAGGGCUCAACCCUGGAAUGCCAGUGGAAACUGUCGAGCUAGAGUCCGGAAGAGGCGAGUGGAAUUCCUGGUGUAGCGGUGAAAUGCGCAGAUAUCGGGAAGAACACCCGUGGCGAAGGCGGUUCUGCUGGGACGGUACUGACGCUGAGACGCGAAAGCGUGGGGAGCAAACAGG